rnacentral:rRNA from 1 species
GAUGAACGCUGGCGGCGUGCUUAACACAUGCAAGUCGAACGGAAAGGCCCUUGCUUGCAGGGGUACUCGAGUGGCGAACGGGUGAGUAACACGUGGGUGAUCUGCCCUGCACUUCGGGAUAAGCCUGGGAAACUGGGUCUAAUACCGGAUAGGACGAUGGGUUGCAUGCCAUUGUGGAAAGUUUUUCGGUGUGGGGUUAGCUCGUGGCCUCUCAGCUUUUUGGUGGGGUAAUGGCCUACCAAGGCGUCGACGGGUAGCCGGCCUGGGAGGGUGUACGGCCACAUUUGGACUGAGAUAAGGCCCAAGCUCCUACGGGAGGGAACAGGGGGGAAUAUUGCACAAGGGGCGCAAGGCUGAUGCAGCCACGCCGCGUGGCGGAAUACGGCCUUUGGGUUGUAAAACCCUUUCGCUAGGUACGGAGCGUUUUGUGACGGUACCUGGUGAAGAAGCACCGGCUAACUACGUG